UAUAAGUGUUUUUAACUAAAAUUAUUAUAAGUUAUGAUCUUUAAAAUUAAAAAAUUUGGCGGUAUUUUAGUCUAUUCAGAGGAACCUGUUUUUUGAUCGAUAGUCCACGAUGAGUUUUACUUUAACUUUAAAUUUAUAUAUCGUCGUUAAUAAAAAUUUUUGGAAAAUUAUAAUUUUUGGGAUUUUUUAUUAGAACUGAAUUCAGAUCAAGGUGUAGUUUAUGUUGAAGUUAAAAUGGGUUACAUUAUAUUUAUAUGUAGAUUUUUAUUUAAAAUUAAAUUUAAAAUGGAUUUGAUAGUAAAUUCUUUGUUUUUGAGAUUUGA
rnacentral:rRNA from 1 species